rnacentral:rRNA from 1 species
AACGAACGCUGGCGGCAUGCCUAACACAUGCAAGUCGAACGAGACCUUCGGGUCUAGUGGCGCACGGGUGCGUAACGCGUGGGAACCUGCCUUUAGGUUCGGAUUAACUCAGAGAAAUUUGAGCUAAUACCGGAUGAUGUCUUCGGACCAAAGAUUUAUCGCCUUUAGAUGGGCCCGCGUUGGAUUAGCUAGUUGGUGGGGUAAAGGCCUACCAAGGCGACGAUCCAUAGCUGGUCUGAGAGGAUGAUCAGCCACACUGGGACUGAGACACGGCCCAGACUCCUACGGGAGGCAGCAGUGGGGAAUAUUGGACAAUGGGCGAAAGCCUGAUCCAGCAAUGCCGCGUGAGUGAUGAAGGCCUUAGGGUUGUAAAGCUCUUUUACCCGAGAUGAUAAUGACAGUAUCGGGAGAAUAAGCUCCGGCUAACUCCGUG